rnacentral:sRNA from 1 species
UCACCAGGACAGGUGGACGAGCAAAGGC